GUAUUGCCCAGAAGGUAACUCAAGCCCAGCCACCAAUGUCAGUGCAGGAGAUGGAGACUACAAUCCUGCACUGCACCUAUGACACCAGCGAUACAAAUUAUGGUCUCUUUUGGUACAAGCAGCCUGGCAGUGGGGAGAUGGUCUUCCUCAUUCGCCAAGAGUCUUACAGCCAGCAAAAUGCAACAGAAGGUCGCUACUCCUUGAAUUUCCAGAAAGCAAGCAAAUCCAUCCAGCUUGUCAUCUCAGCUUCACAACUGGAGGACUCAGCGGUAUAUUUCUGUGCACUGAGGGAGGCCACAGUAAAAGGAUUGUUGACGGGAGGUGUACAAAAACCCCAGGGUCUGCCUGAGACAGACAUCUGCGUUAGGGACCAAGGCAGAAAGUCACCAUCUCCCACAGGAAACAGCUAAGGCUGAGACAGCACAGGUGCAGUGUU